GGAAUUUUCCGCAAUGGGCGAAAGCCUGACGCAGCAACGCCGCGUGCGGGAUGAAGGCCUUCGGGCUGUAAACCGCUUUCAGCAGGAACGAAAAUGACGGUACCUGCAGAAGAAGGAGCGGCCAACUACGUGCCAGCAGCCGCGGUGACACGUAGGCUCCAAGCGUUGUCCGGAUUUAUUGGGCGUAAAGAGCUCGUAGGCGGUUGAGUAAGUCGGGUGUGAAAACUCUGGGCUUAACCCGGAGACGCCAUCCGAUACUGCUCUGACUUGAGUUCGGUAGGGGAGCGGGGAAUUCCUGGUGUAGCGGUGAAAUGCGCAGAUAUCAGGAGGAACACCGGUGGCGAAGGCGCCGCUCUGGGCCGACACUGACGCUGAGGAGCGAAAGCGUGGGUAGCAAACAGGAUUAGAUACCCCAGUAGUC
rnacentral:rRNA from 1 species